UACGUAGGCUGCAAGCGUUAUCCGGAAUUAUUGGGCGUAAAGCGUACGCAGGCGGUUUGUUAAGUUGGAUGUCAAAAACCUGAGCUCAACUCAGGUCAGGUAUUCAAUACUGGCAAACUCGAGAUAGGCAGAGGUAAGUGGAAUUCUGUAUGUAGGGGUAAUAUCCGUAGAUAUACAGAGGAACACCAAAAGCGAAGGCAGCUUACUGGGCCUUUUCUGACGCUCAUGUACGAAAGCGUGGGGAGCAAACGGG
rnacentral:rRNA from 1 species